rnacentral:rRNA from 1 species
AAUCGCUAGUAAUCGCGAGUCAGCAUAUCGCGGUGAAUACGUUCCCGGGUCUUGUACACACCGCCCGUCACACCAUGGGAGUUGGCAACACCCGAAGUCGAUGAGCUAACCGUAAGGAGGCAGUCGCCUAAGGUGGGGUUGAUAACUGGGGUGAAGUCGUAACAAGGUAGC